rnacentral:tRNA from 1 species
GUAGGGGUGGCGCAGCGGAGAGGCGCAGUGCUGUAAUUGGCAAAGGACACCGGUUCGACUCCGGUACCCUACUACA